UGGGGAAUAUUGCACAAUGGGGGAAACCCUGAUGCAGCCAUACCGCGUGUGUGAAGAAGGCCUUCGGGUUGUAAAGCACUUUCAGCAGUGAGGAAAGGUUAGUAGUUAAUACCUGCUAGCUGUGACGUUAACUGCAGAAGAAGCACCGGCUAACUUCGUGCCAGCAGCCGCGGUAAUACGAGGGGUGCAAGCGUUAAUCGGAAUUACUGGGCGUAAAGCGCGCGUAGGUGGAUAGGUCAGUCAGAUGUGAAAGCCCAGGGCUUAACCUUGGAAUUGCAUCUGAUACUGCCUGUCUAGAGUACAGUAGAGGGGUGUGGAAUUUCCUGUGUAGCGGUGAAAUGCGUAGAUAUAGGAAGGAACACCAGUGGCGAAGGCGACACCCUGGACUGAUACUGACACUGAGGUGCGAAAGCGUGGGUAGCAAACAGGAUUAGAUACCCUGGUAGUCCACGCCGUAAACGAUGUCUACUAGCCGUUGGAAGACUUGAUCUUUUAGUGGCGCAGCUAACGCACUAAGUAGACCGCCUGGGGAGUACGGCCGCA
rnacentral:rRNA from 1 species